GACGAAGGUGGCAACCGUUGCUCGGAAUCACUGGGCAUAAAGCGCACGUAGGUGGCUAAGUAAGUCGGUGGUGAAAUACCUUGGCUCAACCAAGGAAGUGCCAUCGAUACUGCCAUGCUUGAGGACGGGAGGGGUGAGUGGAACUCUUGGUGUAGCGGUGAAAUGCGUAGAUAUCAAGAGGAACGCCGGUGGCGAAAGCGGCGCACUGGAUUUCUUCUGACGCUGAGGCGCGAAAGCUAGGGGAGCAAACGGG
rnacentral:rRNA from 1 species